rnacentral:rRNA from 1 species
AACGAACGCUGGCGGCAUGCCUAACACAUGCAAGUCGAACGAAGGCUUCGGCCUUAGUGGCGCACGGGUGCGUAACGCGUGGGAAUCUGCCCUUUGGUUCGGAAUAACAGCUGGAAACGGCUGCUAAUACCGGAUGAUGACGAAAGUCCAAAGAUUUAUCGCCAGAGGAUGAGCCCGCGUUGGAUUAGGUAGCUGGUGGGGUAAAGGCCUACCAAGCCGACGAUCCAUAGCUGGUCUGAGAGGAUGAUCAGCCACACUGGGACUGAGACACGGCCCAGACUCCUACGGGAGGCAGCAGUGGGGAAUAUUGGACAAUGGGCGCAAGCCUGAUCCAGCAAUGCCGCGUGAGUGAUGAAGGCCCUAGGGUUGUAAAGCUCUUUUACCCGGGAAGAUAAUGACUGUACCGGGAGAAUAAGCCCCGGCUAACUCCGUG